rnacentral:lncRNA from 1 species
UAAAUGCUUGAUGAUUGAUUGAUUGGUCCAGUGUGAAAUCCUGUGAUUCUUUCUAGGAAAGGGCUGCUCAAGACUUCCAGGCUGGAAGGGAUGUUUAUGCUGAGAGAUGGAAGAAAGUACAUCAACUCAAAUCUCAGAGUCUUGACAGAAUGCUUCUCUGCUGAACUUUGCCAAAUGCUACUUCCCUGGACCACUGAUGGAUACUGGCAGACAUGUUGUCUCUGGCAAAUGUGUAGUCUUAACUGGACAUUGCUUUGCUGGAGAGAAACUUGAAGCCCUUGGUCAGUACUUAUGGAAAUCUUGGAAUUCCAGCCUAGGAUUUGAUGUUUGUCUUUCUUAUUGAGAUUUCGCCUCUGGACUAACCCAGCUGGGUCCAGAUGUUCCAAAUGUAUAGUGCCUUGUGUCCUUAGUUCAGAUAGUACUGUCUGCUGUUAAUUAACUGCUGGUUGGAGGUACGUUAUUGAUCACAUCACUGGUUAUUUGCACAUGCCAUUGAAUUGAUUGGUAUUGCUUGUCUUGCAUAUGCUGAAUGUUGCCAUAUUUUGUUCAGUUAUUGUUGUUUGCAUUUGCACAUCAGUUUUGCUGCUUGAACUUGCAUGUUUGGUUAUUUGCUUUUGCAUUAUUGAUUUGCUGAAUAC